rnacentral:rRNA from 1 species
UAGGGAAUCUUCCGCAAUGGACGAAAGUCUGAUGGAGCAACGCCGCGUGAGUGAAGAAGGGUUUCGGCUCGUAAACUCUGUUGUUAAAGAAGAACAUAUCUGAGAGUAACUGUUCAGGUAUUGACGGUAUUUAACCAGAAAGCCACGGCUAACUACGUGCCAG